rnacentral:rRNA from 1 species
AGCGCACACGGUGGAUGCCUUGGCGGUCAGAGGCGAUGAAGGACGUGGCAGCCUGCGAAAAGUAUCGGGGAGCUGGCAACAAGCUUUGAUCCGGUAAUGUCCGAAUGGGGAAACCCACCCGCUUGCGGGUAUCCUGCAGUGAAUACAUAGCUGCUGGAAGCGAACCUGGUGAACUGAAAUAUCUAAGUAACCAGAGGAAAAGAAAUCAACCGAGAUUCCGUAAGUAGCGACGAGCGAACGCGGACUAGCCCUUAAGCUGAUUUGGUUCUAGGAAAACGCUCUGGAAAGAGCGGCCAUAGAAGGUGAUAGCCCUGUAUCUGAAAGGGCCAUUUCAGUGAAGACGAGUAGGGCGGGGCACGUGAAACCCUGUCUGAACAUGGGGGGACCAUCCUCCAAGGCUAAAUACUACUGACCGACCGAUAGUGAACCAGUACCGUGAGGGAAAGGCGAAAAGAACCCCGGAGAGGGGAGUGAAAUAGAACCUGAAACCGUGUGCGUACAAGCAGUAGGAGCUCCGCAAGGAGUGACUGCGUACCUUUUGUAUAAUGGGUCAGCGACUUACUGUUCGUGGCAAGCUUAACCGUAUAGGGGAGGCGAAGGGAAACCGAGUCUGAUAAGGGCGCAUAGUCGCGGGCAGUAGACCCGAAACCGGGUGAUCUAGUCAUGCCCAGGGUGAAGGUGCGGUAACACGCACUGGAGGCCCGAACCCACUCCCGUUGCAAAGGUAGGGGAUGAGGUGUGAUUAGGAGUGAAAAGCUAAUCGAACCCGGAGAUAGCUGGUUCUCCUCGAAAGCUAUUUAGGUAGCGCCUCAUAUGUAUCCUCUCGGGGGUAGAGCACUGUUAUGGCUAGGGGGUCAUCGCGACUUACCAAACCAUUGCAAACUCCGAAUACCGAGACGGACUGUAUGGGAGACACACGGCGGGUGCUAACGUCCGUCGUGAAAAGGGAAACAACCCAGACCCACAGCUAAGGUCCCAAAUUUUGUGCUAAGUGGAAAACCAUGUGGAAAGGCACAGACAGCCAGGAGGUUGGCUUAGAAGCAGCCACCCUUUAAAGAAAGCGUAAUAGCUCACUGGUCGAGUCGGUCUGCGGGGAAGAUUUAACGGGGCUAAGCACAGAACCGAAGCUUGGGGUGCAUAACUUUGUUAUGCGCGGUAGAGGAGCGUUCCGUAAGCCGUUGAAGGUGGAUUGAGAAGUCUGCUGGAGGUAUCGGAAGUGCGAAUGCUGACAUGAGUAACGAUAAUGCGGGUGAAAAACCCGCACGCCGAAAGCCCAAGGUUUCCUUGCGCAACGUUAAUCGGCGCAGGGUGAGUCGGCCCCUAAGGCGAGGACGAAAGUCGUAGUCGAUGGGAAGCAGGUUAAUAUUCCUGCACCUCGCGUAAGUGCGAUGGAGGGACGGAGAAGGUUAGGUGUACCAGGCGUUGGUUGUCCUGGGGAAAGGCGGUAGGUUUGGAUCUUUGGCAAAUCCGGGAUCCUCUAAGACCGAGCACCGAGACGAGCCUUUAUGGCGAAGUCACUGAUACCACGCUUCCAGGAAAAGCUCCUAAGCUUCAGCUUACGCAGACCGUACCGUAAACCGACACAGGUGGGUAGGAUGAGAAUUCUCAGGCGCUUGAGAGAACUCGGGUGAAGGAACUAGGCAACAUGGCACCGUAACUUCGGGAGAAGGUGCACCCUUUUUGGUGGCUCGUGCGAGCUAUAGCUGAAGAGGGUCGCAGUAACCAGGCCGCUGCGACUGUUUAUCAAAAACACAGCACUCUGCAAACACGAAAGUGGACGUAUAGGGUGUGACGCCUGCCCGGUGCUGGAAGGUUAAUUGAUGGGGUCAGCCGCAAGGCGAAGCUCUUGAUCGAAGCCCCAGUAAACGGCGGCCGUAACUAUAACGGUCCUAAGGUAGCGAAAUUCCUUGUCGGGUAAGUUCCGACCUGCACGAAUGGCGUAACGACAGCGGCGCUGUCUCCACCCGAGACUCAGUGAAAUUGAAAUCGCUGUGAAGAUGCAGCGUUCCCGUGGCAAGACGGAAAGACCCCGUGAACCUUUACUAUAGCUUUACACUGAACGUUGAGUUCGUCUGUGUAGGAUAGGUGGGAGGCUAUGAAACUGUGGCGCUAGCUGCAGCGGAGCCAUCCUUGAAAUACCACCCUGUCGUGCUUGACGUUCUAACCUGGGCCCAUUAUCUGGGUCGGGGACCGUGUAUGGUGGGUAGUUUGACUGGGGCGGUCUCCUCCUAAAGAGUAACGGAGGAGCUCGAAGGUACGCUCAGCGCGGUCGGACAUCGCGCACUGUGUGCAAAGGCAUAAGCGUGCUUGACUGCAAGAUCGACGGAUCAAGCAGGUAGGAAACUAGGACUUAGUGAUCCGGUGGUUCUGUAUGGAAGGGCCAUCGCUCAACGGAUAAAAGGUACUCCGGGGAUAACAGGCUGAUACCGCCCAAGAGUUCAUAUCGACGGCGGUGUUUGGCACCUCGAUGUCGGCUCAUCACAUCCUGGGGCUGUAGUCGGUCCCAAGGGUAUGGCUGUUCGCCAUUUAAAGUGGUACGCGAGCUGGGUUCAGAACGUCGUGAGACAGUUCGGUCCCUAUCUGCCAUGGGCGUUGGAGAUUUGAGAGGGGCUGCUCCUAGUACGAGAGGACCGGAGUGGACGAACCUCUGGUGUUCCGGUUGUCACGCCAGUGGCAUUGCCGGGUAGCUAUGUUCGGAAGCGAUAACCGCUGAAAGCAUCUAAGCGGGAAGCGCGCCUCAAGAUGAGAUCUCCCGGGGCACAAGCCCCCUGAAGGAACCAUGUAGACUACGUGGUUGA